CCUACGGGUGGCAGCAGUGAGGAAUAUUGGUCAAUGGACGGAAGUCUGAACCAGCCAUGCCGCGUGCAGGAAGACGGCUCUAUGAGUUGUAAACUGCUUUUGUACAAGGGUAAACCUGAAUACGUGUAUUCAGCUGAAAGUACUGUACGAAUAAGGAUCGGCUAACUCCGUGCCAGCCGCCGCGGUAAUACGGAGGAUCCAAGCGUUAUCCGGAUUUAUUGGGUUUAAGGGGUGCGUAGGCGGAUUGAUAAGUUAGAGGUGAAAUGUCCGAGCUUAACUCGGGAACUGCCUUUAAUACUGUUGAUCUAGAGAGUAGAAGCGGUAGGCGGAAUGUAUGGUGUAGCGGUGAAAUGCGUAGAGAUCAUACAGAACACCGAUGGCGAAGGCAGCUUACUAAUCUAUAUCUGACGUUGAGGCACGAAAGCGUGGGGAGCAAACAGGAUUAGAUACCCCGGUAGUC
rnacentral:rRNA from 1 species